rnacentral:rRNA from 1 species
UACGUAGGGUGCAAGCGUUGUCCGGAAUUAUUGGGCGUAAAGAGCUCGUAGGCGGUCUGUCGCGUCGGCUGUGAAAUCCCGGAGCUCAACUCCGGGUCUGCAGUCGAUACGGGCAGACUGGAGUUCGGCAGGGGAGACUGGAAUUCCUGGUGUAGCGGUGAAAUGCGCAGAUAUCGGGAGGAACACCAAUUGCGAAGGCAGCUCGCUGGGACGAUACUGACGCUGAGGCGCGAAAGCGUGGGGAGCAAACAGG